ACGGGAGGCAGCAGUGGGGAAUAUUGGGCAAUGGGCGAAAGCCUGACCCAGCAACGCCGCGUGAAGGAAGAAGGUCUUCGGAUUGUAAACUUCUUUUAUGAGGGACGAAGGACGUGACGGUACCUCAUGAAUAAGCCACGGCUAACUACGUGCCAGCAGCCGCGGUAAUACGUAGGUGGCAAGCGUUAUCCGGAUUUACUGGGUGUAAAGGGCGCGUAGGCGGGAAGGCAAGUCAGAUGUGAAAUCCAUGGGCUCAACCCAUGAACUGCAUUUGAAACUGUUUUUCUUUAGUGCUGGAGAGGUAGACGGAAUUCCUUGUGUAGCGGUGAAAUGCGUAGAUAUAAGGAAGAACACCAGUGGCGAAGGCGGUCUACUGGACAGUAACUGACGCUGAGGCGCGAAAGCGUGGGGAGCAAACAGGAUUAGAUACCCUGGUA
rnacentral:rRNA from 1 species